UGUCAUUCCUCUGCUACUGCCAGUAGCACAAUACCAUAUCUACAGAAGCCAUGCCUUAUAUCUAACCCCCAUCUGCAAUCUUCCACCGUUUGAUCUGAAAUAUACAGAAUGCAAAAGGUGCAAUCUAGGUAACUGAAACUACAGAAAGUGAAACUUCAGACAAAAGGGGUCUACUGCAAUUAUACUUCUUUUUGCUUAGACUGUUAGAAAUCUCAAGACAAACUUGAAGAUCAUAACACUGUGGACUUCUGUAUUUGGUGCAUGUUUCAGGAUCUCUCAUGCAGAUACAGUUAGAAGGAGGCUGGACUAGAGUCAUCUGAAAAUUCAAUUGGACUAAAUUUCAAAGAUAAUGUAUUAGUCCAUUUUCUGUUGUUAUAACUGAAUGCCAUAGACUUGGUAAUUUGUAAAGAAAAAAGGUUUAUUUAGCACAUGGUUCUAGAACCCAGUAAGUCAUAGAGUGUGGUUCAUUUGGUGAGGAUCUUCUUGUUGUGGCAUGACUUGGUGGAGAGUAUUAGAUGUGACAAGGCAAGAACAUGUGUGUCAGCUCAGAUCUUUCUCUUCUUAUGACACCAACAUUUUUAUCAUGAAGGCCCCACUCUAAUAACCUUAUCUAAUUCUUAUUACCUCCCAAAGGUUACACCUCCAAUAAACAUAUGAAUUUGAGGAUUAAAUUUUCAACCCUUGUGCUUUGAGGAACAUUCAAAGAAUGGCAUAUGGCUUCUUCAUCGACAUGCCUGGCAACAUAGCUGGAAUGACUAACCCCACUUUGGGCAGGCCAGACCCAAUCUAGCUCUCUUUCUCUCCCACCCACACCUGCAGCCUCUGUGCAUGGCUUCCUCACAACAUAAUGGUCAUCAGGUAGUGGAACUUUUUAAUGACUGCUUGAUUCAUCUAGGGCCAGUAUUCUAAGGGAGCCAGGAGGAAGCCACGAGGUGUUUCUGACAUAGCCACACAACUUAGACAGCUUCACUUUCACUGCAUUUUAUUGAUUAAAAGCAAGUCUUUAGUUCAACCCUGAUUCAAGGAGAGGAACUACAAAAAAACAUGAAUACCAAGAAGUGUGAUUUUUUUGUGGAUCAUUUUUAUAGACUAGCUACUACAGUAUACUUAGAUUUUUUUUCUUAGAGUAGGUUUUCUGCUUUAUUAUUUUAUAAUAUGUUUUUUAAUUAAAGGUGAUUUUUACUGUUUUAUGGAGAAGCCAAGUAAUAUUAAAUGAUAAACUAAUGGUACAGAUGUAAUAAUAACACUAUAUACACAGGAUGUUAUGAGAAUUGCUUGAGUUAAUAAAUAUGUGAAUAGUUUGUAAAUAAGAUCAUACUAGUGUAAAGGUAUAUUUAAAAAUAGUGUGUCAUGGGAGUUCCUGAUUUUGUUAAAAUUGUAAGAAUUUUUGCUUCAGACCAAUGGUCUUAAUAUCAGCCAAGUUAUUCACAGAGUGUUUAAUGAGAUAAUACAAACAGCCUUUAGUAAAUUGGGCAGAAGCAAAGAGAAUUAUGUCUUAGUAAAAUUUCUGGAAAUUUUCUACAUAGUUCUAUAAAAAUCUCAGAGAACUUCUAACAACUUGUGGGACAAUGGAAUUAAGAGAUAAAAUUAAAAAUAUAAUCUUUAUUUCUCAAUGUAAGCUCCAUCAAGUUCGAGACACUUUUGUAAGUGGUAUUACCAACCAUUUAGUCCAUUCCUAAAGAACUGAGAGUCAUUGGACUUUGACCACAUCAAAGCAGUCUUUUUUUACAUUAUUAACUAAACAGAAAUGAGUGCCCUUUAAAGAUUUUUUAAAAUUAGGAAACAAAAAGAAGUCAAAGGGAGCCAAAGCAGGACUUGCUUACUGAUUUCCCAUUAAAACCCUCACCAAAGUGCCCUUUUUUCUUUUUCCUUUUCUUUUCUUUUCUUCCUUUCCUUUCUUUUCCUUUCCCGUCCUUUCCUCUCCUUUUCCUUUCUCUUUCCUUCUUUCUUUUCUUUUUCUUUCUCCCUUCCUUCCGUCUUUUCUUUUCUUUUUCUUUCUUCCUUCCUUCCUUUCUUUGUCUUUUUUUUGACAGUCUCGCUCUGUCAACCAGGCUAGAGUGCAGUGACGUGAUCUCAGCUCACUGCAGCCUCUGCCUCCUGGGUUCAAGGGAUUCUUGUGCAUCAGCCUGUAGCUGGGACUACAGGAGUGCAACACCAUGCCCGGCUAAUUUUUGUAUUUUUAAUAGAGA
rnacentral:lncRNA from 1 species